UACGUAGGUGGCGAGCAUUAUCCGGAUUUACUGGGCGUAAAGGGUGCGUAGGCGGAUUUUUAAGUGGGAUGUGAAAUACCCGGGCUCAACUUGGGUGCUGCAUUCCAAACUGGAAGUCUAGAGUGUGGGAGAGGAAAGUGGAAUUCCUAGUGUAGCGGUGAAAUGCGUAGAGAUUAGGAAGAACACCAGUGGCGAAGGCGACUUUCUGGACCAUAACUGACGCUGAGGCACGAAAGCGUGGGGAGCAAACAGG
rnacentral:rRNA from 1 species